AUCUGGGCGGCGGAAUUCAGGAUGGCUGGCGGGCGGCGCAGCCGCUUGUCCGGCCGUUUGAUAUUUCCGUCGCCGUGUCGGACGUCGCGACCUGUUUGUCGUCGGUCCUUGCUCGGAGGAAUCGCGAUCGAGUUCGUUGCGCGGGGUACGUUUCGGCGUGCGCCGUGCGGCGAAGACGCGACUCUCUGGCCGACGGCGGACAGUAAGCAACGGUGUCCGGCGCCGUGUCUCGCACUCGGCGUCGGUGCCGGUCUGCGACGAUUUCUUCGGGCCUCUUUCCGACCCGUCUUGAAACACGGACCAAGGAGUCUAACAUGCGCGCGAGUCGCGGGGUUUCGAGCGUGCCACGGUGCGCUCGUCACAAGCGAAACCCGUACGUUGAAGGCGUAAUGAAAGUGAAUGGGGAAGAUGGCGUUCCGAGUCCACGUACCGUGAUCGUGUGUCGCGGCCGGACGUCCGCACUCCCGGGGCGUCUCGAUGGCUCGUCGCGGACGCGGACGAUCGUCUCUCGGGGCGGUCGUCGGUCUGCGCCGGACCGA
rnacentral:rRNA from 1 species